GGGCCCGCACAAGCAGCGGAGCGUGUGGUUUAAUUCGACGCAACGCGAAGAACCUUACCAGGGUUUGACAUGGCACUUACAACUAUCGAAAGGUAGUGGCCGCAAGGCGUGUGUCACAGAUGCUGCAUGGCUGUCGUCAGCUCGUGCCGUGAGGUGUCGGGUUAAGUCCCGUAACGAGCGCAACCCCUGUCGCUAGUUGAAUGUCUAGCGAGACUGCCGCGUAAGUUGGAGGAAGGCGGGGAUGACGUCAAGUCAGCACGGCUCUUACAUCCUGGGCUACACACACGCUACAAUGGACCUGACAGAGGGCUGCGAAGCCGCGAGGUGGAGCUAAUCCCAGAAACAGGUCCUCAGUUGGGAUUGCAGGCUGCAACUCGCCUGCAUGAACGUGGAGUUGCUAGUAAACGCCGGUCAGCACUACGGCGUUGAAUACGUUCCCGGGCCUU
rnacentral:rRNA from 1 species